GAUGAACGCUGGCGGCGUGCCUAAUACAUGCAAGUCGAGCGAACAGACGAGGAGCUUGCUCCUCUGACGUUAGCGGCGGACGGGUGAGUAACACGUGGAUAACCUACCUAUAAGACUGGGAUAACUUCGGGAAACCGGAGCUAAUACCGGAUAAUAUAUUGAACCGCAUGGUUCAAUAGUGAAAGACGGUUUUGCUGUCACUUAUAGAUGGAUCCGCGCCGCAUUAGCUAGUUGGUAAGGUAACGGCUUACCAAGGCAACGAUGCGUAGCCGACCUGAGAGGGUGAUCGGCCACACUGGAACUGGGACACGGUCCGGACUCCUACGGGAGGCAGCAGUAGGGAAUCUUCCGCAAUGGGCGAAAGCCUGACGGAGCAACGCCGCGUGAGAGAUGAAGGUCUUCGGAUCGUAAAACUCUGUUAUUAGGGAAGAACAAAUGUGUAAGUAACUAUGCACGUCUUGACGGUACCUAAUCAGAAAGCCACGGCUAACUACGUG
rnacentral:rRNA from 1 species